GAUGAACGCUGGCGGCGUGCCUAAUACAUGCAAGUCGAGCGAACGGACGAGAAGCUUGCUUCUCUGAUGUUAGCGGCGGACGGGUGAGUAACACGUGGAUAACCUACCUAUAAGACUGGGAUAACUUCGGGAAACCGGAGCUAAUACCGGAUAAUAUUUUGAACCGCAUGGUUCAAAAGUGAAAGACGGUCUUGCUGUCACUUAUAGAUGGAUCCGCGCUGCAUUAGCUAGUUGGUAAGGUAACGGCUUACCAAGGCAACGAUGCAUAGCCGACCUGAGAGGGUGAUCGGCCACACUGGAACUGAGACACGGUCCAGACUCCUACGGGAGGCAGCAGUAGGGAAUCUUCCGCAAUGGGCGAAAGCCUGACGGAGCAGCGCCGCGUGAGUGAUGAAGGUCUUCGGAUCGUAAAACUCUGUUAUUAGGGAAGAACAUAUGUGUAAGUAACUGUGCACAGCUUGACGGUACCUAAUCAGAAAGCCACGGCUAACUACGUG
rnacentral:rRNA from 1 species